GACGAACGCUGGCGGCGUGCCUAAUACAUGCAAGUCGAACGCAGUGGGGACGGGGGAGUAACACGUGGGAAACCUCCCAUCAGAGGGGAUACCACUUGGAAACAGGUGCUAAACCGAUAAUGUGGGAUGGACCCGCGGUUCAUUAGCUAGUUGGUGAGGUAACGGCUCACCAAGGCCACGAUGCAUAGCCGACCGGGGAGGGUGAUCGGCCACACUGGAACUGAGACACGGCCCAGACUCCUACGGGAGGCAGCAGUAGGGAAUCUUCGGCAAUGGACGAAAGUCUGACCGAGCAACGCCGCGUGAGUGAAGAAGGUUUUCGGAUCGUAAAACGCUGUUGUUAGAGAAGCGGUAUCUAACCAGAAAGCCACGGCUAACUACGUGCCAGCAGCCGCGGUAAUUC
rnacentral:rRNA from 1 species